rnacentral:rRNA from 1 species
AUGAUGUGCAGGGCAACAGCUGACCGGGAGAAAACGGCGACGGCCUACAAGUCGGAGAAGAGGAAGGAGAUGGAGGCGGAGGGGUACAAGAUCCUGGGCAACUCCGGCGACCAGUGGAGCGACCUGCUGGGCUACUCCAUGAGCGCCCGCUCCUUCAAGCUCCCCAACCCGAUGUACUACGUCCCUUGA